rnacentral:rRNA from 1 species
GGCCUCGACAUACUAAGAACUUUCCAGAGAUGGAUUGGUGCCUUCGGGAACUUAGAUACAGGUGCUGCAUGGCUGUCGUCAGCCCGUGUCGUGAGAUGUUGGGUUAAGUCCCGNAACGAGCGCAACCCUUUUCCUUAUUUGCCAGCGGGUCAUGCCGGGAACUUUAAGGAUACUGCCAGUGACAAACUGGAGGAAGGCGGGGACGACGUCAAGUCAUCAUGGCCCUUACGGCCAGGGCUACACACGUGCUACAAUGGUCGGUACAAAGGGUUGCUACCUCGCGAGAGGAUGCUAAUCUCAAAAAGCCGAUCGUAGUCCGGAUCGCAGUCUGCAACUCGACUGCGUGAAGUCGGAAUCGCUAGUAAUCGCGGAUCAGAAUGCCGCGGUCGAAUACGUUCCCGGGCCUUGUACACACCGCCCGUCACACCAUGGGAGUUUGUUGCACCAGAAGUAGGUAGUCUAACCGCAAGGAGGACGCUUACCACGGUGUGGCCGAUGACUGGGGUGAAGUCGUAACAAGGUAGGCGUAGAUGA